GAUAAACGCUGGCGGCGCACAUAAGACAUGCAAGUCGAACGGACUUAACUUCAUUCUUUACGAUUGAAGAGCGGUUAGUGGCGGACUGGUGAGUAACACGUAAGCAACCUGCCUAUCAGAGGGGAAUAACAGUGAGAAAUGACUGCUAAUACCGCAUAUGCCUAAGUAACACAUGUUACAAUAGGGAAAGGAGUAAUCCGCUGAUAGAUGGGCUUGCGUCUGAUUAGAUAGUUGGUGGGGUAACGGCCUACCAAGUCGACGAUCAGUAGCCGGACUGAGAGGUUGAACGGCCACAUUGGGACUGAGAUACGGCCCAGACUCCUACGGGAGGCAGCAGUCGGGAAUAUUGCGCAAUGGAGGGAACUCUGACGCAGUGACGCCGCGUGCAGGAAGAAGGUUUUCGGAUUGUAAACUGCUUUAGACAGGGAAGAAAAAAGACAGUACCUGUAGAAUAAGCUCCGGCUAACUACGUG
rnacentral:rRNA from 1 species